GCUUCUUUAGCUCAGUUGGUAGAGCGCUCGACUGUUAAUCGAGUUGUCACAGGUUCAAGUCCUGUAAGAAGCGCCA
rnacentral:tRNA from 2 species